rnacentral:rRNA from 1 species
GACGAACGCUGGCGGCGUGCCUAAUACAUGCAAGUCGAACGCUUCUUCCCUCCCGAGUGCUUGCACUCAAUUGGAAAGAGGAGUGGCGGACGGGUGAGUAACACGUGGGUAACCUACCCAUCAGAGGGGGAUAACACUUGGAAACAGGUGCUAAUACCGCAUAACAGUUUAUGCCGCAUGGCAUAAGAGUGAAAGGCGCUUUCGGGUGUCGCUGAUGGAUGGAUCCGCGGUGCAUUAGCUAGUUGGCGAGGUAACGGCUCACCAAGGCCACGAUGCAUAGCCGACCUGAGAGGGUGAUCGGCCACACUGGAACUGAGACACGGCCCAGACUCCUACGGGAGGCAGCAGUAGGGAAUCUUCGGCAAUGGGCGAAAGUCUGACCGAGCAACGCCGCGUGAGUGAAGAAGGUUUUCGGAUCGUAAAACUCUGUUGUUAGGGAAGAACAGGGGCGUUAGUAACUGAACGUCCCCUGACGGUACCUAACCAGAAAGCCACGGCUAACUACGUG